CUUGAGAGUCCUGAAGGAACGUUGAAGACGACGACGUUGAUAGGCCGGGUGUGUAAGCGCAGCGAUGCGUUGAGCUAACCGGUACUAAUGAACCGUGAGGCUUAACCUUACAACGCCGAAGCUGUU
rnacentral:rRNA from 3 species